GUCCGAGUAGUCAGAAGGAGAUAAGAAAUGCGCAGAAGACGCGGGCUCAAGAGAUAGAAUUUCUUUUUGCGAUCUACCGCGGCACUGUGGCGGUAUAUAAUCGCCACUUGCUGAUCGCGCAAAUAUGGCAACACGUCCGAUCUGGCAAUGUCAGCAAUCGCAGUAAUUAGCGUGAUUUCAACGUCUGGUACAAUCGCAGGAUCUGGGAGGCCCAAAUGAAAAGGAAAUAGGUACAAUGCUUGUACAAGGUCACUUCUUUGUUAAUCUAUAUGUUUGAUUAACCUUGAGAUCGGUUACAGUUGAAUCUUUUCUAAAAUAUAUUUUUCAGAUCAAUUAUACAUACGACCAUAACGUAAAUUACUACUACACGUUUGCAUAGCCAGGUACCUAAAUGUAUGUAUAAAGUACUAAAAUAUAGUAUUUACGGUAAUAUCAAGAAAUUAAUUUCG